rnacentral:rRNA from 1 species
UUCUUUUAGGAUUAAAUAAAAGUAUAUUUUGCUCAAUGAUUAAUUAAAUAGCUGCAUAUAUUUGUACUAAGGUAGCAUAAUCAAUUGUCUAUUAAUUGUAGACUUGUAUGAAAGAAUGAAUAAUUAGUAACUUUAUUUAUAAUAAUAGUUGAAUUUUGAAUUUUAGUAAUAAUACUAAAAUUUAUUAUAGGGACGAGAAGACCCUAUAAAGCUUAAAAUAAAUGGUUAUUAUAAAUAAUAAUUUAUUUUAGAUUGGGGCAAUUUUUUAUAAUAAAAAAUAUAAAAAAAUAUUUUAAAUAUAUUUGAUCCUUUAUUAAAGAGAAUUUGAAUAAGUUACUUUAGGGAUAACAGUAUAAUUUUUAUUUAAAAGUACAAAUUAACAGUAAAGAUUAUAACCUCGAUGUUGAAUUAAUUAU